rnacentral:tRNA from 1 species
GGGGACGUAGCUCAGUUGGUCAGAGCGUUCGGUUCACAUCCGAGAGGUCAUGGGUUCGAGCCCCCUCGCCCCCA